rnacentral:rRNA from 1 species
GACGAACGCUGGCGGCGUGCUUAAUACAUGCAAGUCGAACGGAAAGGCUCUACUUUUGUGUGGUACUCGAUUGGCUGACGGGUGAGUAAGGCGUGAGUAACCUUCCCUUGACUUCGGGAUAGCUUCGGGAAACUGGUGCUAAUGCCGGAUAGGAGCUCCUACUGCUUGUUGUGGGUUGGAAAUUUUCGGCGGUUGGGGAUGGACUCGCGGCUUAUCAGCUUGUUGGUGGGGUAGUGGCUUACCAAGGUGUUGACGGGUAGCCGGCCUGAGAGGGUGACCGGCCACAUUGGGACUGAGAUACGGGCCAGACUGAUACGGGAGGCAGCGGUGGAAAACAGUGCAAACUGGGCGGAAGCCUGAUACAGGAACGCCGGGUGCGAGAUGACUGCCUUAGGGUUGUAAACCGCUUUCGACUGGAAAGUAGAGUGAGUGACGGUAAUGGGUAAAGAAGCAACGGCUAACUACGUG